AUUAACAGUGAGCUAUUAGAAUGGAGGUAAGGUAGAGGGAGAAUUAACAGUGCGCUAUUAGAGUGUAGGUAAGAUAGAGAGAAUUAACAGUGUGUUAUUAGAGUGUAGGUAAGAUAGAGGGAGAAUUAACAGUGUGCUAUUAGAAUGGAGGUAAGGUAGAGGGAGAAUUAACAGUGCGCUAUUAGAGUGUAGGUAAGAUAGAGAGAAUUAACAGUGUGUUAUUAGAG